GCGAAAGUGGCGGAAUUGGUAGACGCACCGGCCUUAGGAGCCGGAGCCGAAAGGCGUGAGAGUUCGAGUCUCUCCUUUCGCA
rfam:Betaproteobacteria bacterium 13_1_20CM_3_63_8 13_1_20cm_3_scaffold_67736, whole genome shotgun sequence.